rnacentral:lncRNA from 1 species
GACAGGGAGUGGGAGCAAGCCUGUUUGCCGCUGGAGAAGUCUGGUAAGGUGAGAACCACAGCUCCAAGACUGGGGAAGACCCCGGUCUCCACUGUGAGGACCACGUGACCCGACAAUGACUGGACAGAUGCCGGCUAGUUUUCUGCUGUCUUGAUGGGGUGGUGCAUUUCCCUGUCUUCCUCAGAGGCAGGCUGGGUGCAGGCUCCCUUUCGGGCUUCUGACUCAGAGGGCCUUUCUGGACUAUUUUUUGUGUGUGGAGAGAUUAAUGAAAAAUCUACACAGGAUUUUAAUCUUACUUCAGACCAUAUUCCAGCACAGGUGCCAAACUACAGGACCAAAAUCACCCUGAUUACACCACCAAGAAAUACAGAAGAGAACAAUAUUCCCAGGUCAGCCACAGUAACACAUCACGUCCCUCUGCUGAAUAAAAUGUAUCCUGUGUUAUCUUCUCUGCAACAGAGAAGCUUUUCCAAUCUUAACCGUUCUGUUAUUUUUAACUUUAUAAUGUAACCUGGGGCUAAAAUGGGAAAUUUUCCAGAUCAAGACAUAUUUUUUGUCUCUUGGUCCAUUAGUCUAUACAAAAGACCAUUUGAUUGUUAUUUACUCCACCAGUCAGUAUGUAAUCUGUAUGAUUUGAAUAGUGCAACUAGUGGUACUAGAUUGGAGUUUGUAAUCUUUCCACACAGUAUAUCACACAUACUAAUGAGCUACAUUGCACUGAAUUAUAUAACACACAAUAACAAACAAACCAUUAAGAAGUAAAAGCAGC